AACGCACCUUGCGCCCCUUGGCAUUCCGAAGGGCACACCCGUUUGAGUGUCGUAAAAUCCUCAACCUUCUCCCUUUCUUGUUGAAUUGGGGGAAAGGCUUGGACUUUGGAGGUAUCAUUUUUUGCUGGCCUCUUUCCACUUGAAGCCAGCUCCUCUUAAAGGAAUUAGUGGGAUCCCCUUUGCCGAUCCUUGACGUGAUAAGCUUUUGCAACCUCGUCUCGAGAGGUAGAGAAACCCUGCUUCUAAAUUGUCUCGUUCGAGACACGGGUGGUUUUGAAAGGUUUGCCCCUUUGACCCACCAAACCCCUUUUGACCUCAAAUCGGGUGAGACUACCCGCUGAACUUAA
rnacentral:misc_RNA from 1 species